rnacentral:rRNA from 1 species
CUCACCCUGUGACAUACCUAUAACGUUGCCUCGGCGGGAACAGACGGCCCCGUAACACGGGCCGCCCCCGCCAGAGGACCCCCUAACUCUGUUUCUAUAAUGUUUCUUCUGAGUAAACAAGCAAAUAAAUUAAAACUUUCAACAACGGAUCUCUUGGCUCUGGCAUCGAUGAAGAACGCAGCGAAAUGCGAUAAGUAAUGUGAAUUGCAGAAUUCAGUGAAUCAUCGAAUCUUUGAACGCACAUUGCGCCCGCCAGUAUUCUGGCGGGCAUGCCUGUUCGAGCGUCAUUACAACCCUCAGGCCCCCGGGCCUGGCGUUGGGGAUCGGCGGAAGCCCCCUGCGGGCACAACGCCGUCCCCCAAAUACAGUGGCGGUCCCGCCGCAGCUUCCAUUGCGUAGUAGCUAACACCUCGCAACUGGAGAGCGGCGCGGCCACGCCGUAAAACACCCAACUUCUGAAUGUUGACCUCGAAUCAGGUAGGAAUACCCGCUGAACUUAAGCAUAUCAAUAAGCGGAGGAA